CUUGACCGAACCGAGCAGCAGCGGACGUUCGGCGUCGCGGUCCCGCCCGUACGUGGCCAGCAGCGCCUGGGCCUC
rfam:Kibdelosporangium aridum strain DSM 43828 genome assembly, contig: LX79DRAFT_scaffold00001.1